UACGAAGGGAGCUAGCGUUGUUCGGAAUCACUGGGCGUAAAGCGCACGUAGGCGGACUUGUCAGUCAGGGGUGAAAUCCCGGGGCUCAACCUCGGAACUGCCUCUGAUACAGCAAGUCUUGAGUCCGGAAGAGGUGGGUGGAAUUCCUAGUGUAGAGGUGAAAUUCGUAGAUAUCAGGAAGAACACCCGUGGCGAAAGCGGCUCUCUGGGACGGUACUGACGCUGAGACGCGAAAGCGUGGGGAGCAAACAGG
rnacentral:rRNA from 1 species